rnacentral:rRNA from 1 species
UACGAAGGGACCUAGCGUAGUUCGGAAUUACUGGGCUUAAAGAGUACGUAGGUGGUUAGAAAAGUUGGUGGUGAAAGCCCAAGGCUCAACCUUGGAACUGCCGCCAAAACUUUUUAACUAGAGUAUGAUAGAGGUAAGCGGAAUUUCUAGUGUAGAGGUGAAAUUCGUAGAUAUUAGAAAGAACACCAAUUGCGAAGGCAGCUUUCUGGAUCAUUACUGACACUGAGGUACGAAAGCAUGGGUAGCGAAGAGG